AAGCAAUGCGGGUACUAUAAUGCAGUCGAACGCUUCUUUUUCACCGGAGCUUGCUCCACCGGAAAAAGAGGAGUGGCGAACGGGUGAGUAACACGUGGGUAACCUGCCCAUCAGAAGGGGAUAACACUUGGAAACAGGUGCUAAUACCGUAUAACAAUCGAAACCGCAUGGUUUUGAUUUGAAAGGCGCUUUCCGGUGUCGCUGAUGGAUGGACCCGCGGUGCAUUAGCUAGUUGGUGAGGGAACGGCUCACCAAGGGGACGAUGCAUACUCGACCUGAUAGGGUGAUCGGUCCAAUGGGAC
rnacentral:rRNA from 1 species